UUNUGAACUGGGUGACUAGAGUGUGUCAGAGGGAGGUAGAAUUCCACGUGUAGCAGUGAAAUGCGUAGAGAUGUGGAGGAAUACCGAUGGCGAAGGCAGCCUCCUGGGAUAACACUGACGUUCAUGCUCGAAAGCGUGGGUAGCAAACAGGAUUAGAUACCCUGGUAGUCCACGCCCUAAACGAUGUCAAUUAGCUGUUGGGCAACUUGAUUGCUUAGUAGCGUAGCUAACGCGUGAAAUUGACCGCCUGGGGAGUACGGUCGCAAGAUUAAAACUCAAAGGAAUUGACGGGGACCCGCACAAGCGGUGGAUGAUGUGGAUUAAUUCGAUGCAACGCGAAGAACCUUACCUGGUCUUGACAUGUACGGAAUCCUCCAGAGACGGAGGAGUGCCUUCGGGAGCUGUAACACAGGUGCUGCAUGGCUGUCGUCAGCUCGUGUCGUGAGAUGUUGGGUUAAGUCCCGCAACGAGCGCAACCCUUGUCAUUAGUUGCCAUCAUUUAGUUGGGCACUCUAAUGAGACUGCCGGUGACAAGCCGGAGGAAGGUGGGGAUGACGUCAAGUCCUCAUGGCCCUUAUGACCAGGGCUUCACACGUCAUACAAUGGUCGGUACAGAGGGUAGCCAAGCCGCGAGGUGGAGCCAAUCUCACAAAACCGAUCGUGGUCCGGAUUGCACUCUGCAACUCGAGUGCAUGAAGUCGGAAUCGCUAGUAAUCGCAGGUCAGCAUACUGCGGUGAAUACGUUCCCGGGUCUUGUACACACCGCCCGUCACACCAUGGGAGUGGGGGAUACCAGAAGUAGGUA
rnacentral:rRNA from 1 species